AGUUGAUUUGUUAUUAUGGACAGUUAUUAUGAUUGGUGAACUUUUAUUAUUUUAAGAACUAGGUUUCUGCAUGUUGGUAAAUGAUUAUUCCGCUGCAUAUUUAGACUUGUGAGACAUUAUGACUUGAGUUAGUCAAUGGAAUAAGAUUUCAAUUUAUUCUGUUAAAUUAUUUUGGAAUUUCAUAAUUGAGGUGUUUGAUUUAGAUGCCUUGCAUGCUCGUGGGGAGAGUUUCCUACGGGUGUGCGGCGGUUGGCGCGACCCCCGGCCCGCGAUCUCGGGACGGGGGCGUGACAUGUAGAUACCUCAUGGCAUCCUCUCCCAAGUUCCUUAUGCCUAAUUAAUAAGUAAUCAAGUACUAAAACUAUACUCCAUGGCUUUAAUUGGUCUACUUCUAUCUAACCAACUCUUUCUAGUUCAAUUGAGCUUUAAUUGAUUCAAGGUCCUAACAUAUAUCGCCUUCAAUUGAUCAACAACAACUUUGAUUCCAUCUAAUUGAGUCCAAUUGCACCAGUUUAUUGAUUUUUCCAAAAACUCGAACCAAAAUCCCACUCUCUAGCCCAAUUCAUCCCAUAAGUUCCUUUUAAAAAUUAGUUAACCUUCCUUCAACCUACAUUCAAUCUCAAAGGACCAUUCCAAACUUCAGUGGAGCAAAAACU
rnacentral:lncRNA from 1 species